GGUUCGUAAGUNCAGAUGGAAAGCCUUUUGUUCAACGGAAGAAUUGCAUCUGAAACUCGAGUCUUGAGUGUAGGAGGGGAGAAUGGGGACUUCUGGUGAGCGGUGAAAUGCGUAGAUAUCAGAAGGAACGCCGGCGUACGAAAAGCGUUCUCUGGCCCUAUUACUGACACUCAGUGUGGCGAAAAGCUGAGGGGAGCAACGGNAUUAGUACCCCGGUAGUCCUAGCCGUAAACGAUGGCACUAAGUGAGGGAAUUCCGAUGUUCUCUCUGCCGUGCUAACGCAUUAAGUGCCCGCCUGGGGAGGUACGGCCGCGAAGGCUAAAAUACUCAAAAGAAAUUGACGGGGGCUCGCACAACGGUGGAGCUGUGGUUUAUAUUCGAUGCAUGAACGCGAAGAACUUACCGGGGCUUGACAUGUAGAAGUAGAACCCGAAAUGGGCAACGAACGGUAUCCAGGAUCCGUAACUAUUCACAGGUGUGCAUGGCUGCGUCAGCUCGUGACGUGAGACGUUGGGUUGGAAGCCCCCUAACGAGCGAAACCUUGUUUUUAGUUACCAGCGGGUUAUGCCGGGUACUCUAGAAAGACUGCCGUCGUCAAACGGAGGAAGGUGGGGAUGACGUCAAGUCAUCAUGGCCCUGUUAUGCCCCGGGCUACACACUGCUACAAUGGUCGGUACAUAAACGGAAGCGUG
rnacentral:rRNA from 1 species